rnacentral:piRNA from 1 species
UUUGCCUAGGAAUAAUAAGGCCUCUUGGUUC